UAGUAGUAAAAAAUGACAGGGCCAUUUGAUCUGAAAGAAUAUUCAAAGGCAAUAAAGUCACUAGUAGAAGGGAAGAGCUUUGGGGAAGAUGGCAUACCA